CUGGGGCUGAGAAUGGAGGCUUCCUUAAUUCACACCAAACAGGGUCUGAUCAGGGAGGAGUGUAGUGAGGAAGUUGAAACUUGAUGUUGGCUACUCUUUUCUCUGUAAGAAGAUGAAGAAGAGCUUGGGAGAGCACAUCUGGCCAAGUAAGGAGUACAGGUUGCCAAGUAGGGACACAUUUUCUAGAGCCGUUUCUGUCUUCUAGCACAAACAUCAGGGUUAUGUUGCAUACAUUAUACUUCCUUGUCUUCUCUGAAUAUGUCUACAUAUGUGUGUUCUUGUGAAAAUAGAUUGGUUCUGAGGCUUUGUCAUAGCUAGGGAGACUUCCAGAGAAGCUCAGCUUCCUAAGGGACCCACAUGAUUAUUCUCUCAUUUUCGUUUUCAGCCGUGACCAGCAUCAUCAAUGAAAUGUGUGUCUGUGGAGGUCUGGCUGACUAUUCUGAAAAACCACCACCCAAAUGAAUCUCAUUUUAAUGGAGACCCUGCAUCAAGUUACGUAAUGGCCUGUCCAUCACCGACUGGAUCUCUCACAUUUUCUCAGAUGGUGAGUUGUGAUGCCAUAAACCAAAUCUCAUGUGGAAUAUUUCAUGCAAUGUUCAGGAUGUCUGCUUUCUUAUCCUUUUGAUUUCCUUGAAUAAUUACUUAGUUAAAAAUACAUAUAUCACAUUUU
ensembl:lncRNA